UGAGGAAUAUUGGUCAAUGGGCGAGAGCCUGAACCAGCCAAGUAGCGUGCAGGAUGACGGCCCUAUGGGUUGUAAACUGCUUUUAUGUGGGGAUAAAGUGCGUGACGUGUCAUGCAUUGCAGGUACCACAUGAAUAAGGACCGGCUAAUUCCGUGCCAGCAGCCGCGGUAAUACGGAAGGUCCGGGCGUUAUCCGGAUUUAUUGGGUUUAAAGGGAGCGUAGGCUGUCUAUUAAGCGUGUUGUGAAAUAUACCGGCUCAACCGGUGGCUUGCAGCGCGAACUGGUCGACUUGAGUAUGCAGGAAGUAGGCGGAAUUCAUGGUGUAGCGGUGAAAUGCGUAGAUAUAUGGAGGAACACCGGUGGCGAAAGCGGCUCUCUGGUCUGUAACUGACGCUGAGGCUCGAAAGCGUGGGUAGCAAACAGG
rnacentral:rRNA from 1 species